GGCAACAGUCGUACAGUCCUGGUGGGGAGAAAUGGUGUAACAAGGCCGUGCGGAUGGCGACAGAAUCGCCCGCGCGACUCUCGUUGCUUUGUACUCGCGAUAACGAGGAAUUCGGGGGAUGACCUGCCUGUCGUUUCAUGAGAAUUAAUCCAGAAUUAUACUCUGGCACGUUACUGACACAGCACUGAUGCUCUCUCUCUUCUGUUCUCUCCACGACGUCUGGUGCGAACGGGCUAGACCAGUGACAGCCGGUGGUCGCCAGGCUGAUCAUCCCCAGGGCCCGGUGAAGACCUCCAGGCACAACGGGGAAGCACCGGCGGCGGUCGGACCAGACCAGCAGACUAACCGAUCCAGCCUGGCUCCGAAUUCCUGUGGCUCAAGAGUACGGAGCACCGGGGCAGCGGGUGUCGCUCGUCUCCGCAAGAGCCAGGACUGUCGCACCGAUGCGAGUGCGGCAUGGCGCUCGGUUAAUACGGAGAAGUUGGCCAAUCGGCAUAUCGAGGCAUCCACACCGGCAGCCAAGCGAUCCUCAUUGCCAAAAUCCAUGAGGCAACCGUCGGCGUUCUUUAGUUCCCUGCCAGCUCAGCCGCUACUGUUUAAUUUAAGACACCCCUCAAAUGUCACGAAUACAUUCCGUCGCGUUACGUUAAGCUUCCUAUCUCCAAUGGGACCGUUCAAUAACACGUUAUAUACACGGCGUUCAAGGAGUAACGAGCGAAAAUCGUGUUACCGCGAUUCUCGAGCCGACCUAAGCACUCGAGUGGGCGAUUGGGAGCUGGUAGCUUGCCACGAAGGCAGAAAGUAAUUUUUCAAGUUUGAUCUUUGACCCUUGGUACUAAUGGUUUCUCUGUCUUCGAGUAAACAGACGAUUAUGAGCUUUCCUCUGUGCUCCAAUCGUAGCCAGUAACCGUGUACACAAUUUUCGUCUCGCUUCUCGCACUUCUCGUAAUACAAUCUCAGGCCGUUGUGCAUCUGUACGCGCUGCGGCUGCUCCGGCGCGCAGCCGUGUGCGCUAUUAUAGGUGGGCGUCGAGUGAAAUUCUCGUGGCCAAGCAAUCUCUCCUUUACGAGCCGUAAUCCGAGGCGAUAAAAACUUUUCCUCGUUAAUCUCGUCAGCGUUGCGGAUUAACGUUAACAGCUCGAGGAUUCGCGGUGGAGAUGAUUUAAUGCCGAUAAUACAUUUAAAUUAAUACGAAAUCAUGUAAAAUCUCCGUACAGACCUAAGGCAUACCGAUACAUUUGUUUUUUCAUCCAAAUUGUUAAAUCGGCAAGACAUUCGAAUAAGAUCGGUGCUAGAGCGUCGCGUCGACCUAUAUUUAUUAAUAGAUCCCGAAGACCUCGUGCUCGCGAAGGUGCAGGCAUGUGUCACCCCAGGAAUACCUCGACCGAGUGACCGUACUCUGUCUGCUAGCCCCGCGUCUGCGGCCGCGACUCCAAGUGUGCUGCGUGAGACGAGGCGCGUUUGCUCAUCGAGAAAAUAGCGAACGAUAGAGCCCGGAUUACGUAGGGGACGUCUAUAGUUGUCUAUUGCGAGAUCAGCCGAACGGACAUGCCGGUGAGGUUAGGUCGUGGGAGAUGUUUGCGCUCGUCAUAUUCUAACCGGCCCGUGUAUAUACAUAGUUUGGCGUGAGGCGGGCACAGGUGGGACUAGGCUGGGUGCUGCUGUUUUGUCAUCGGAGCCAGGAAUGGCUCGAUGAUGACUAACGAUAGCAUUGAUGAUCGGUAUCGAAUGGUUCGAGUUACCAUAAAAAUACAUGUCGUCUCGUAUGAUGUUAUUCGCUCGAGAAUUCUAGGGUUUUUCCUGUGCAUCGGCUUAUACAGGGUGUGCGUACGGGAUACGUGCGGGACGGGGAUUUGGCUAAGGGUGCGCAAGGGACUCAUCAAUCAUUUGCCAGGAAAACUUUAUGGGACAGUAUUUCACGUGUGUCGGUAACCCCGUGACACCUAUUGUGGGUUUUGCCUGGCUGUGAAAAGUUUGUGUUGCUUGGGUCGGUGCACGCGAGCGUCGUGGUCAUUAAUCAAGCGUAAUCGAUAACCUGUCAAGUCGAUCUAAUUUGGGGAAUAAAUUUUAAGGUCAUACGUGUCUUGGGCGUAGUACCAGUGGCGCCCCUGCCGGCAGUACGCGGAACUAAGUCUUCAAAGGAAAUUUAUUCCCUAACAUUUUAAAAGCAUUCUAAUUUUGUGCAUUCCAAAGGCAAAGUGUUCACAAAGUCGUGGAGAAGGACAGUAGACGAGUUGUUCCGGUACGCGGGGAAGUUUCCUUUCACCGGUUCGGUCGCCGAUUGUAAAUUGACAAUUGCGACAGAUCGAUCGAGAUCGUGCGUCGCGCCUCGGCGAAUUUACAAUCGAACGUUGCUCGCCGCUUGUACAGGAGAGAAAGCCAAUGAAGAUUCAUCGGCGAUCAUCCUCGGCAUAGAAGAAAUAAUGUCGAUCGAUCGCUUCAUGGAAACGGCUACUCGUGCACAGGUAUUAUACGUACCGUGACAAAACAUCGGGUUUCCCGAGAAACUCGGAGUCCACUGUGUGUUUACGAGCGAGGAAAGAGGCGAAGGCGCCUCCAGCUGUAGGAGCCGCAGGUUAGGCGCGAUAACUCUUCGCGUUAUUCUUGACUCUCGGCCGACGAUCGACAGUCCCGGCCGACAUGUUGCUUCUUAAUUGAGAUUGCUAAUUGCAUUGACCUUGAACCAUGGCUGGGAGGGCCCGGGGAGAGGAUGCAGCUUCUAUCAUUAGCAAAGUUCGCGGGUCAAAGUUCAGCAGCGUCAAGUUAUUCGCGUGCUGGACCAGAAUAUUUAUGGUGCUUCGCUCGCGGAAUUAUUGACCUCGUUCCAAAGGAUGACCUCACGAGUGAGCAUCUGUCUCCAGAUGAUCCUCCCUAGCUCCCUGCUCCCUACGCGCCACUUGCGCCUCCGCCACUGCUUCGUUCUCUGCGCCACGAAUUUCAGCGACUGGCGUCCCUGCAACCAGGCGGCAUCGCGUACAUGCACACGCGCAUAGGUCAUAGGCGUAGGAGGGAGGCUGUUAAAUUUCGCAAGAAGCGCAUGGCUCCGCGAAGUUGCUGGUCCAAUUUCAUUUUUUUUUACCUUUUCCACUUUUAUCUCAUUUUUAUCCUUUUUUCAAGACUACUUACAAAUACACGUCUUCGUUCCUGCUUCCAUACUGCACGCGUGUUACGUGUAUACCUCGAAAUUCAACUACUCGCAACGCAUGACAAGCAAUACGUUGAUCCACUGCGAAUUCCUGGAGAUUUUUAUUUGAAUCUCCCGCGCUAUUUACAUUUUUCUUUUUUUACAAUCUUUCGACAAUUAUUGCCUCUGUCACGAUUGCGCAAUCGAUUUUUCGAAUCGAAUCGUCACGAGGUUCUCGAUUAUCAUUUCCUUCGCGUCGACUCGACGUCCGACGAAAUAUCGACGCCUCCCUUCUUCGGGCACCCCCCUCCGCCCCCCUCUUCCCCCACUCCUAGGUAAAAGCUAUUCGAAAAAAAAGUUGCUUAGUCUUUGCCAAUCUGUCGCGGUUUCCUUGCGUUUUGUCUCGUUCUCGUUUUCCCUUUCGGAAUCGUGCUCCUGGGUCACGCCCCGACGAUUCGACUACUUUCUGUCUUCAGCUUUAGGCGUCGCGACGCCGGGCAGAUCGCUUCGGUGACUUCAGGAAUCACGCCGUUACACGCGCCAACGACGUCUGGUAUUUCAGCAUCGAAAUCUUUUUAAAUUUACCUACGUCUUGACGCACUGACGUAAUUGGGGUCUGUUUUGAAAAAAAAAAAAAAAAAAAAGUGACUGUACGGCAAAUUAAUACUGACCUCUCGCAAUAAUUGUACGAUUACUUCCUAUUGUUUUGCUUUGGGCGCGUGGUCUAAUUUUUUAAACAUUCUCUUAGCUUCGCUACGACUUGCCUUGUGUACCGAGUGAAAGUGUUUCUUGCUUGUGUAUAAAUUUCCAAUUUUUAUACCGUCCAACGGAAACACAUUUCUUUGGAACAUUCGUUCAUUGCGAACGCGGCUGUCUGCUUACGGAAAAGUGAAAAUCUAACGAAAUUUCAGCCGGCUAAUUCGGCACUGGCGGCCGUUUGUUUGAACGAGUAGACGAGGCUUUAGAACAGACAGAGACGGUGGGGUUUUCUAUAGGCUGAGAAAAAAAAGAAUAGUCGUAAAGAAACGCGACAAAAAGUAAACGGCGGGUUCGGAUAGGCGAUAUCGCGGACGUUACGGAACGCAGUUGUAAAUCUCGUAGGAACGAAUCGUUAUCGCUCGAGUUAAGACGAAGCGAAGUAAUCGUAAGUAGUUUUCGCUGAAAAUAAUUCUUUAGGGGGACAAUCAACCUGAGCUGCCUAUAAUCCUAGAACACAGUGCGAAAUCUCAUCGGUGCGGAAUUCGCACUGAUUGGAAAGUGCAAAGACCCACUCCUGGAGAUAUGACCGUCCUCGAGUGCGUUCUCGGUACGAACUGCGCCAAGUAGUUAAUCAUUUUUUUAUCAGUCUUAUCACUUUUGAGAAAAAGAUUUUUUCAAGUGACCGUGACACGUGGAAAGUAAAACAAAAAAAAAAUUACAUCGAUCAGCCAUCACGAAGAUAACCGAACCACGUGGUCUAUGCCAAAAUGCAAAACUAAGCUAACUGGCAGUGUGCAAGUGCAGCGAGUACGGAGAAGAAUGAUUUUACUGUGUUGAAAAAUAUUUACUUUUUUAUUAAAAAAAAAUACAGUUUCAGCUUACAACAAGAAUUAUUAAAGAAUGCGAUAAACGUUAUCAAAAAUAAUGGAUGAGUAUGAAAAUUUUAUCUUUUACUUUUUAAUGUCUCUCUGCUCGAGAAUGUAAUACCAGAUAGCGAUUCUAGGGGUAGGCUUUCCGUAGAGGGGGAGGGCAGAGGGGGGGGGGGCGUCGGUUGUACCGGGAGCUGGGUCGUAUUGAUCGUACUGAAAACAUUCGCCCUUUACGCCCACGCUCGGCGUCCUGCGGGUCUGCACAGUACAGGGUUUACCUACUACGCCCGAAACCCUUAGGUUUUCCCUUCAAGAGAUUUCUCUCGGCUUCGUUCGCCUUUCCUAUCUCCCUGUAGCCAGUGUCUCUAUUAAUCGGCUGUUAUACCUUUCUUUCAGUUCCAAGAGUCCUUUCUCUGUGAGCAAACGGGAAAAGAGACAAGCGAAAAUAUAGUUCUGACUCAAGAUAAACGAAUGGUUCGCGCAUACCCAAGAGUAGAUAUAUCUCGACACUUUUCGUUCUAUACUCAGGGGGUUGUGGAUCGUGCCUUACAUUGGUGCAUGUGUCCGCUUUACGGUGAGAAUGCAAAAUUUCCGAACACCCGGUAGCAGUGUGCCGGCUCCGUGACCGGGCUUUCAGGGAAGCUUUUGCGGCAUGGGCGAAAAGCUCAGAUCAAUAUCAAGCCGCGAAUUGGGACGUUACGCGAAGAUCGACCCGCGACCUCUGACCCACUCUCUGGACCCGCCCGUGCCAUCGUCAGCGCCCUCUUUUUCUCUCCCUACUUCACCCCAAUCCCUGCUACCCUCCAACUCCAUCGUUCUCACCCAGGCAAUCCCGACCUCGGUAAACAUUCGUCAAUUUUUCACCAUUUCCUACGCGUUAAUUUUCUUUCCGCUUCGCGCUUUCAGCCGUUAUUCUUAAAUUAACCUGUCAAACAGAGUUUUUUCCCUUUUUGAAAAAAAAAUAAAAUAAAAUAAAUUCCAUAGGUAACAAAAUUUUUUAAUUUAUCACUUCGAGUCUCCCUCUCUCCCUUUCACUCUCUCUCUCUCGUUCGAUUUUCAAUUAGCCCACCCUCUAUUGACUUAUUUAUUUACACGUAAAGUUCAAAGACUAUACGUCACGCUGUGGGAAGCCUAGCAGGGUUGGCGGGGCUAAAAUUAAUUCCGCGUUGCCUAGAUUAGGCGAACGGUCGCGAGGUUUCCCUGCCGCGUAUACUCGCUGUGUAAUAACUCAAUAACUCAGAACUGUACGAGCAUUUUUUGGGACAAUCAUAUGCAGAUAAUUAAUGCUUCGGGACUUGUGUGGCGUUGCAACUAUUUUUGGAAUGAAAAAUCAUACCGAUUUAAUAUCUCGAGUCGUGGUACCACUGGGCACCAUUGGUAUCGACAGAAAUUCCUUUUGAAAUUAAGAAGCUCUCUCUAACUGAUUGUCAAGACCAAAGGAGUAUGAGUUGCGUAUUAUUCUUUAACGUUUCUUUACGAACUCGAGCUUGGUCGAUAUUACGGGGCUGAUGGUAUCGUUGGUGAUUAGGCCAGUACAACACACUAUAGCCAAAUCCAGCGUAUCGAUUCACCUUAUAUGGAGGUGGAUAUUUUUAGCCAUUCAGACAUUUUCGUACGACGGGAGUGGCAGCUGAACAAAGUUUUCUGGCUGCACGCACUUUUCUCAUUUUUUAACUUUUUUUUUUUCCGAGCAAAAUUUAUACACACAGUGGUGCUAAAAGACACGUGCCUUUUGCUUGGUUCUUAUGAGCUGUCAUUAUUUACACAGACACGUGCUUUUUUGUAUACUCCGUGCGUGUAGACUUUCACUAGGUAACUCUUUGCUGUGUAUCAAUAUUGGUUAUAUUGGUAUCUCGUCAAGUUUCCCCUCUUGGCCGGCGAACACGUGGAAAAACAUUGGCUCGUCGGUGAAUGGAAAAAAUGAUUGUCGGUUGGUUCAUUGAUUGCCUUUCGAAACGACUGAUUCAUAAGUCAAUGAGUUGGUAAAUGAAAUAGAAAUUUGUGAAAAUUCGUGCUCUCGUGCAACGCGGUUCGAAAAAAAAAAAUGUAUUUCAAAGAAAUGCAAAAUUAGGUAAACACCAUCGAGUCGGUAACGAAGUUCUGUCUCAAUGCGGAAACCGCAAGAAUAAUUAAGAGGAGGAAAAAUAGAAGAAGUUUCUUGUAAUAAAUAAAAAUAAUAUUAUUUCACUCCGUACGACAAAAGGCUUAAUAAAGACUACGAAAGAGUCGCAAUUAUAUCACGAAAAAAGACAAUAACAAGACACUCCCAAUUUUCACGGAGCGACUUUCCAGCCGAAGCCUCAGUGACACGUGUAGGUUCGUGACGUCGAAGAUUUACAAGGGAUUGCGUAACAAGAGCACAGAACGCGUAUGGGAUAGCGUGUAACCGAAGCGAAGCCCGUAUUACCUGAAUCGUAGUCCCGUAUAAUGUAACCCGUAACGUUCAUUUCCUAUGUAACCAAAGGGACUUAUCUUUAGCGUGCAUUCCCGCUGACGUUUUACAGUAAACUCAAUAUAUCGCGUAUACCGAAAGUCAACGAGUCAAAUUUUGAAAAAAUUUUUAUUCCCUAUCCAAGCAGCAAGAUCGAUACAGACCACACACGCAGAAGAAAUUUCGUAACGGGAUUCAAUCUGUUUCUAACGAGAAAGUUCUUGGUCGAAAAGGCGGCUAAAACACUUCGGCACGUCUAAUCGCAGAGUUGCGUAACUCGUGUGCCCAGUGAUCGGGACUGGCGUGGGAGUAUCGAAUCGUAACGGAGAUCGAUCCAGAGGCGAAUCUUCGGAUGCACAGGAGGUUAUUAGAAAUCGAUAGAAUUCGUGUCAUCUUUGCAUCCCGGCCAAGGCCUGCCAACCGCGUGACAGAUGCAUUCCAAUUGGACGCCUCUGUGCAUAAUAUUGAAACGAGCCAAUUGGAAAUAACAAUUUGCUAAUUCAUUGUUAGCGUUAACAUUGACAUCGUUCUCGAGUGUGUUUACGGGAAAAGUCCUUCUUUCCUCUCUCUCUCUCUCUCUCUCUCUCUCUCUCUGUAUCUCUUACUCCUUCUAGAUAAUUACAAGAUCUACAGCUUUAUCUUCACGAAACGUGUCGCAGUCGUCGCGACGCCCGUCUGAAUGUUCGUCUCGAAGGAGACGCGUGACAGCUGUAAUAUAUAUAUAUAUAUAUACACAUAUAUAGAUAUAUAUUACGUGAACCAAGGCACAGGCGCACGCUACUCCUAUCACCGGUAUACGUGAUCACCUGAGUACCAACCGAUGUAACUGAGUCAGUCGAGAGAAAGAAAAAGAAGGCCAAUUCACAUAUGGUCGUACGAGGCUUCAUUAAGUCAGACGCUACGAGUCGACGUGCCGGCAGCAGUAUUGGUACACGUAUAAUUGUAUAAAGCCAAGUUCAAACGAGGCGAAAGCCGUAGAGAAGAAUAUUCGCGCGUUCGUGCUCCUUUGCCAUGCAAAUUGCCUUGCUAAAACGCGAAGACGCGAGGUAAAUUAUAACCCGUGUAGGCGCGUGUCUGUUGAUGCUUUUUUUUUCAUUUUUUUCUUCCAGUCUUGGCAUUUCCAUAUGGGAGUAUCUCAUGCAUUCCUCGCUACUAUUGAUACCUUACAGGUAGAUAAGAGUGACAAAUAAUUACACCGAUGAGUGAUCGAUGAAUCGCUUACACAGAUUCAUUCAGGGAUUCUACGUGUACACGAUCGUGCAGUUGAGUUACGUAAGUCGGAAUUUAUUUCCAGCUCUUUACCUAUAGCGGAUCAGCGUGCAUAAUAAUUUUCCAAUUUGACGAUCAAAUCAAUUAACGAACGAGAGGAUAUCGAUUGGAAAGCGAAUCUGGUGGAAGUUGCAAAACUGUGCUGCAGCUUCCGGAAGGUAUAUUUAAGCGUGGUUGAAAUCUGGACCAGUCGCAAGUACACGCGCCUGAAGCUACAGUAUAUAUACCAAACGUACAGCGUGUCGUGAUCGGAUGCGAUGAAAAGAUUUCAGGCGAUAAAUAUAACGGGGGUGCGAAUAGUUGACGAUAAGGGUACAGAAAGCAAGUGACCUAGAUCGAGGCUGUUUCGUUAAUUAAAAUCGCGCGUGGCGUUGAUAUCUGUGCCACUGAUAAGAAUCGGUACGACUGUAGCAACGGUCCAUGGACAAUUAGCUUGGAAAAUUUGGAUCUCGAUCGAUUAAGAUAAAUGAAAAAAAAAAAAAAAAA